GAGCUAAAGCUGGAGUUGUCUUGAACCCUGCUACCCCACUGACUGCUAUAGACUAUGUCCUUGAUGUGGUUGAUCUAGUCUUGAUUAUGUCUGUGAACCCUGGCUUUGGUGGGCAAGGCUUUAUUGAGAGUCAAGUAAAGAAAAUCUCAGAUUUGAGAAGAAUAUGUGCAGAGAAGGGAGUAAAUCCAUGGAUUGAAGUAGAUGGCGGAGUUGGUCCCAAGAAUGCAUAUAAGGUUAUUGAGGCUGGAGCUAAUGCUAUAGUUGCGGGAUCAGCUGUAUUUGGAGCUAAAGAUUAUGCUGAAGCUAUAAGAGGAAUCAAAACCAGCAAAAGGCCAGUAGCUGUACCAGC
rnacentral:misc_RNA from 1 species